AUACCAGCUGGCUGCAACUGUUUAAUAAAAACACAGCACUGUGCAAACACGAAAGUGGACGUAUACGGUGUGACGCCUGCCCGGUGCUGGAAGGUUAAUUGAUGGGGUCAGCCGCAAGGCGAAGCUCUUGAUCGAAGCCCCAGUAAACGGCGGCCGUAACUAUAACGGUCCUAAGGUAGCGAAAUUCCUUGUCGGGUAAGUUCCGACCUGCACGAAUGGCGUAAUGAUGGCCAGGCUGUCUCCACCCGAGACUCAGUGAAAUUGAACUCGCUGUGAAGAUGCAGUGUACCCGCGGCAAGACGGAAAGACCCCGUGAACCUUUACUAUAGCUUGACACUGAACAUUGAGCCUUGAUGUGUAGGAUAGGUGGGAGGCAUUGAAGUGUGGACGCCAGUCUGCAUGGAGCCAACCUUGAAAUACCACCCUUUAAUGUUUGAUGUUCUAACUCGGCCCCAUAAUCUGGGGUGAGGACAGUGUCUGGUGGGUAGUUUGACUGGGGCGGUCUCCUCCCAAAGAGUAACGGAGGAGCACGAAGGUUAGCUAAUCACGGUCGGACAUCGUGAGGUUAGUGCAAAGGCAUAAGCUAGCUUGACUGCGAGAGUGACGGCUCGAGCAGGUACGAAAGUAGGUCUUAGUGAUCCGGUGGUUCUGAAUGGAAGGGCCAUCGCUCAACGGAUAAAAGGUACUCCGGGGAUAACAGGCUGAUACCGCCCAAGAGUUCAUAUCGACGGCGGUGUUUGGCACCUCGAUGUCGGCUCAUCACAUCCUGGGGCUGAAGUAGGUCCCAAGGGUAUGGCUGUUCGCCAUUUAAAGUGGUACGCGAGCUGGGUUUAGAACGUCGUGAGACAGUUCGGUCCCUAUCUGCCGUGGGCGUUGGAAGAUUGAGAGGGGCUGCUCCUAGUACGAGAGGACCGGAGUGGACGAAUCACUGGUGUUCGGGUUGUCAUGCCAAUGGCAUUGCCCGGUAGCUAAAUUCGGAAGAGAUAACCGCUGAAAGCAUCUAAGCGGGAAACUUGCCUCGAGAUG
rnacentral:rRNA from 1 species